rnacentral:rRNA from 1 species
UACAGGGGGUGCAAACGUUGCUCGGAAUCAUUGGGCGUAAAGCGCACGUAGGCGGUCUGUUAUGUCGGAUGUGAAAGCCCUUGGCUUAACUGAGGAAGUGCAUCCGAAACUGGCAGGCUAGAGUACUAAAGAGGGUCGCGGAAUUCCCGGUGUAGAGGUGAAAUUCGUAGAUAUCGGGAGGAACACCGGUGGCGAAGGCGGCGACCUGGGUAGAUACUGACGCUGAGGUGCGAAAGCGUGGGGAGCAAACGGGG